ACAGUGGAGAGGGAGGAGAUGAUAUGCAGCAAAAGGCCGAGCCGGAUGGUUGCUGCUCCGUGUGGAACGUGUUCUAUCAGGUGUAACAUCUACCAAUGGUUGUACGUGACACCACCUCUUUGCUGUCCUACUAGUCAACCCUCCUGAUCAGAGCCUUUCCUAAAUAGUGAAAGGUUCAAAAAGUUCCCUGUACAUCGAACCAUGCCUGUCCUCUGUUCCACAUGUCUUCAGUCCGUUCUGGACUCUAUGACUCUGUUCCACAUGUCUUCAGUCCGUUCUGGACCCCAUGACUCGGACACUAGUUCUACCAAGGCUCAUUAGAGAGUGCUUCAGAGGAUGGCUGAAUUCACAAAACGUGGAGAAGACCGAGAGGGAAAAGUUGGCCGGUUACUACAUUUCACAAAAAAUACAGGACCUUGUGAAAAACGGAAAGAAACAGUUGAAGGAAAUUGCUUAAGUAUGAAGUAAU